UACGAGGGGUGCAAGCGUUGCUCGGAAUUAUUGGGCGUAAAGGGUAGGUAGGUGGUCUCAUUUGUCUGGGGUGAAAGCCUUGAGCUUAACUCAAGAAGUGCCCUAGAGACGGUGAGACUGGAGUCCUGGAGAGGGUCGUGGAAUUCCCGGUGUAGCGGUGAAAUGCGUAGAGAUCGGGAGGAACACCAGAGGCGAAGGCGGCGACCUGGACAGGUACUGACACUCAACUACGAAAGCGUGGGGAGCAAACAGG
rnacentral:rRNA from 1 species